CAGUCGCCGCGGUAAUACGGAGGGGGCUAGCGUUGUUCGGAAUUACUGGGCGUAAAGCGCACGUAGGCGGCUUGGUAAGUUAGAGGUGAAAGCCUGGAGCUCAACUCCAGAAUUGCCUUUAAGACUGCCGAGCUAGCAGGUGAGAGAGGUAAGUGGAAUUCCGAGUGUAGAGGUGAAAUUCGUAGAUAUUCGGAAGAACACCAGUGGCGAAGGCGGCUUACUGGCUCAUACUGGACGCUGAGGUGCGAAAGCGUGGGGAGCAAACAGGAUUAGAGACCCGUGUAGUCCCUGUCUCUUAUAC
rnacentral:rRNA from 1 species